CACACACUGCUGUGUGCUAACACAGGGUAUGUGUGAAGCGUCUAGUGCAGUAGUGUGGUGCUUGGAGCUAGUGCAUGUUGCUGCAUUGUGCUGCUCUCUGCUCACUGCUUCUGCCGCUGGCUAGCCUUCUGAAUGGAGGGUGAAAAGAAGAAGCUGACUUAGUUAGCUUCCUCCUGCCAGUACAAAGCCUCUCCACUACCAAGACUCCUGCAGUGCCUCCCCGGGGCCACACACGGAAACUGGGUACCUCACGGUCCCAGGCUAAACUGCAGGGGAUCUCGGAGCAGCAGCGGGCCCCAGAGACACGGCGUCAGGGCCACCACUGUGUGGAUAAACCCUGGUGCCUGUCAACCGCUGUCCCAGCUAUGGGUGAAUAGUCCCCCUGCAGGUGUAAUGUUGUCAGUUGUACUUACAGAGCCACUGAGGAUGCAGGCAAGGUGCACUUACAGACAGAGCCAGGAUCAGGCAUACCUGGGCUGGCUACAGGAAGGGUCCAGGAGCAGCAGGAGCCAGUAGAGCCAUGGAUGACCUGCGGUUGGUCAUGGGAAGAGCUGCAGCAAUGUAGCAGCACUCUGCUGCAUCAGUGAGACUUCCUAGACGGUCCAACAUGUGUCCAAGGGGCCACAGCAGCAGUUCAAUGUGUCUCAGGCAGGUGCUCAUCAGCUAGAUGCUCUGCCAAUGGCUACAACAGAUCCAGGUAGCAGACCAAGUGACAACAGCAGCUCUGGAGACAACUCUAUUGAUGCAGCAACCACACAGAGGAAAGAGGAAGAUGACCACUGCUCUGCACUGUCCAAAGACAUUCUGCUGCCACAUGAAUGCCCCUCAGACAGAGGGAUCCUCACUGGUUUUGAUGUGGACCUUUGACCUCUGUGAGUCUCAAUCCUUGUAAAGGACUCAGGACUUAUUUUGUCCUCACAUCUGUUGUGAAUGGAAGUCUAUUGUCCAUAUUUGCAACUUUAAUUGUCACAAUAACAGUUCGGUUUUUGAUAUUUUAAUGAGAGGCUCUUGGUCUGACCAAUCAUGGUAGAUUGACCCAGACUUCUCUAUUCUUUUGUUCUGCAUUGUAAGGCUUCAAUUCUCUCAAAAUUAAAUUCUUGACAUGUUUUUAUGAUCAUACACUUAACUGCAUUAUAUUGUUUUAUCUUUAUGUUCUUAAUGAAUGUUGUCCACAUGAUUAUUACUUACCUUUUGAUGAUCUAAAUUACAAUUUUAUUAUUAGCACAAUGAUCUUGUCUGCACCCAUACAAUUUUGAAUGCAUCUGUAAUUUCAUUCUUGCAUAAUUUUUAUAUUUUUGAAAUAUUAUCUUAAGCUUAAUUCACUUCAAGAUUAAUAUUGUGUAAAACCAUAUACUACUUAAAGACAUAUGUAAAAUGUUAUGCAGAACAAUUUACUUGA